AUUGGGUGUAAAGGGCGCGUAGGCGGUUACUUAAGUCUGGUGUGAAAACCUAGGGCUCAACCCUGGGACUGCAUCGGAAACUGGGUAUCUUGAGGACAGGAGAGGAAAGUGGAAUUCCACGUGUAGCGGUGAAAUGCGUAGAUAUGUGGAGGAACACCAGUGGCGAAGGCGACUUUCUGGACUGUAACUGACGCUGAGGCGCGAAAGCGUGGGGAGCAAACAGGAUUAGAUACCCCAGUA
rnacentral:rRNA from 1 species